CCGGGUUGCGGACAGUGUCUGGUGGGUAGUUUGACUGGGGCGGUCUCCUCCUAAAGAGUAACGGAGGAGCACGAAGGUUAGCUAAUCCUGGUCGGACAUCAGGAGGUUAGUGCAAAGGCAUAAGCUAGCUUGACUGCGAGAGUGACGGCUCGAGCAGGUGCGAAAGCAGGUCUUAGUGAUCCGGUGGUUCUGAAUGGAAGGGCCAUCGCUCAACGGAUAAAAGGUACUCCGGGGAUAACAGGCUGAUACCGCCCAAGAGUUCAUAUCGACGGCGGUGUUUGGCACCUCGAUGUCGGCUCAUCACAUCCUGGGGCUGAAGUAGGUCCCAAGGGUAUGGCUGUUCGCCAUUUAAAGUGGUACGCGAGCUGGGUUUAGAACGUCGUGAGACAGUUCGGUCCCUAUCUGCCGUGGGCGCUGGAGAAUUGAGGGGGGCUGCUCCUAGUACGAGAGGACCGGAGUGGACGCAUCACUGGUGUUCGGGUUGUCAUGCCAAUGGCAUUGCCCGGUAGCUAAAUGCGGAAGAGAUAAGUGCUGAAAGCAUCUAAGCACGAAACUUGCCCCGAGAUGAGUUCUCCCUGAGACUUUAAGUCUCCUGAAGGAACGUUAAAGACGAUGACGUUGAUAGGUCGGGUGUGUAAGUGUAGCGAUACAUUGAGCUAACCGAUACUAAUGAACCGUGAGGCUUAACCUUACAACGCCGAAG
rnacentral:rRNA from 1 species